rnacentral:tRNA from 1 species
AAUGUAGUUGGAAUGUAAAUUAAACUAUGUUUCGGCCAUAGUGUGGACAAAUAGUCUUACAUUU